CUUGACGACCAUAGAGCGUUGGAACCACCUGAUCCCAUCCCGAACUCAGUAGUGAAACGACGCAUCGCCGAUGGUAGUGUGGAGUUU
rnacentral:rRNA from 1 species